GGAAUCUUCCACAAUGGACGCAAGUCUGAUGGAGCAACGCCGCGUGAGUGAAGAAGGGUUUCGGCUCGUAAAGCUCUGUUGUUAAAGAAGAACGUGGGUAAGAGUAACUGUUUACCCAGUGACGGUAUUUAACCAGAAAGCCACGGCUAACUACGUCCCAG
rnacentral:rRNA from 1 species